UGAAAUUAGGCGAUGAAGAUGGGUUUUAAUUUCUCAAAUCAAGUUUUUUUGUGUGUGUAUGCAGCAAGACAAUGGUGAACAUGAAGGUGGCAAGAAUAAAAUUGGCAAAUGAGGAGAGGCAUUGUUAUGCUUCUUGAAUCCAUUUUCGUAUUCCACUGCUAGUAUUCAGGUACUUUUUCCCAUUUUCGUCUGACUUAGGGUUGGGGGUUUAGUUGAUUUGAUUGAUUAUGUUACCUCAAAAUCAACUCGUAGGAAUGGGGAAUUUGGUAUAUCAGGCAUGGGUGUUAGCUCUUUCUCUUGUUACGGCUUAGUGUUAGUAAUGAAACAUAUGGUUUUGCUUUUCUUCAAACCCCUUCUUGUAUAUUGAUGAAUUUUAGUGAAUUCAAUUGAGAUGACUGUAUCUAUUUUCUUUCUGUAUCAAUUGAUAAUUGUUCGAUCCUGAUAAUUACCCAAAUGAUUUUCACCCCUUCAAUAUGGAUUUCCAAUCUUUUUGAGUUUUGCACAAAUGGAAUCUGAAAAAAAUAAAUUAAUAUGGGAAAUUUCAAUCAACAAGCAGCUUCAUAGAGGCAGAGUUUUUGAAAAUUGAUAUUAAUAUUCCGUUGAAUGUGGGGGCUAGAUUUUGUUGCCGUGGAGAUGUUUGAUCAAAGUCCCAAAAGAAUUUUAGUUUAGUGGAAUAUUAUGAACAGUUAUGAUUUGUUCAAUACAUUUUAAUACUUGAACAAGUAAGCAUUAUAAUUUUGAGUAUGCAUAUCUAGACACCUCAACUAUGAACACUCCAACUUACAACAUGAUCAUCUACACACCUCCAAAAUUUAUGUGUCGGGUGUCCACAAGACACAAUGAGGACGAGUUGGGAGUGUUUAGUUGUCAAUUGAGACCAAGUUGAGGUGUCUAGAUGUGCCACUCUCAAAGUUGGAGUGCUUAUUUGCCAGCUGAGAUGAAGUUUGAGUAUUUGUUUAUGCAUUCUGAUUUCUUUUUUUUUCCUCAAGAACUCAUCUCUCUGAAUAUCUGCAGUUCUGCUGCUCUCUCGUUUGAAAGUUCAAUCAGAUGCUUGGAUAAUUGUUUCAAAUUCACAUUAUUGUGGCAAAUUUUGUGUUCAACUAUUGUAUAUCUAUUAUGAAUUCACAAAUUUAACAAGAGUUUGACCUCUUCGUAGCUUCAAAUAGCCGGUCCCUAACCCGGAUAAGGAAAGUGGUUUGCAGUAGGUUGAUG
rnacentral:lncRNA from 1 species